rnacentral:rRNA from 1 species
GAGUGAAAAAGAACCUGAAACCGUGUACGUACAAGCAGUGGGAGCACGCUUAGGCGUGUGACUGCGUACCUUUUGUAUAAUGGGUCAGCGACUUAUAUUCUGUAGCAAGGUUAACCGAAUAGGGGAGCCGAAGGGAAACCGAGUCUUAACUGGGCGUUAAGUUGCAGGGUAUAGACCCGAAACCCGGUGAUCUAGCCAUGGGCAGGUUGAAGGUUGGGUAACACUAACUGGAGGACCGAACCGACUAAUGUUGAAAAAUUAGCGGAUGACUUGUGGCUGGGGGUGAAAGGCCAAUCAAACCGGGAGAUAGCUGGUUCUCCCCGAAAGCUAUUUAGGUAGCGCCUCGUGAAUUCAUCUCCGGGGGUAGAGCACUGUUUCGGCAAGGGGGUCAUCCCGACUUACCAACCCGAUGCAAACUGCGAAUACCGGAGAAUGUUAUCACGGGAGACACACGGCGGGUGCUAACGUCCGUCGUGAAGAGGGAAACAACCCAGACCGCCAGCUAAGGUCCCAAAGUCAUGGUUAAGUGGGAAACGAUGUGGGAAGGCCCAGACAGCCAGGAUGUUGGCUUAGAAGCAGCCAUCAUUUAAAGAAAGCGUAAUAGCUCACUGGUCGAGUCGGCCUGCGCGGAAGAUGUAACGGGGCUAAACCAUGCACCGAAGCUGCGGCAGCGACGCUGAUGCGUUGUUGGGUAGGGGAGCGUUCUGUAAGCCUGUGAAGGUGUGCUGUGAGGCAUGCUGGAGGUAUCAGAAGUGCGAAUGCUGACAUAAGUAACGAUAAAGCGGGUGAAAAGCCCGCUCGCCGGAAGACCAAGGGUUCCUGUCCAACGUUAAUCGGGGCAGGGUGAGUCGACCCCUAAGGCGAGGCCGAAAGGCGUAGUCGAUGGGAAACAGGUUAAUAUUCCUGUACUUGGUGUUACUGCGAAGGGGGGACGGAGAAGGCUAUGUUGGCCGGGCGACGGUUGUCCCGGUUUAAGCGUGUAGGCUGGUUUUCCAGGCAAAUCCGGAAAAUCAAGGCUGAGGCGUGAUGACGAGGCACUACGGUGCUGAAGCAACAAAUGCCCUGCUUCCAGGAAAAGCCUCUAAGCAUC